rnacentral:sRNA from 1 species
AGAAUUAAAGAAAAUAUACCGUAGACAGUAGGUGCAUUUUGCAUAACGGAUUAUCCAACCUACCGAGGGUUCCAAUAUAUUACUUUUAGAGAGUAUUGGUUUCUCCAUGUCUACGGAGGAACCUUUAAUUUUUUAUAA